rnacentral:lncRNA from 1 species
CGUGUCUUUGCUCCUCCUUCACCUUCCGCCAUGAUUGUGAGGCUUCCCCAGCCAUGUGGAAACAUAUUCACAGAGCACCCACUAGGUGCCAGGAAAUGUAUGAAAAGCCCUGUGGAAUAAGACUGAAGUUGUCCUUGCCUUCAGGCAACUUGCAAUUUCCUAAGAACACAGUUUAAAACCACAAAACUAAGCCUUGGAAAUCACAUGCUGUCAUUUCUGCGAUUGGUCAUAACCAGUUCUGAUUCCAUGUUAGAGGAGACUACAUAAGGACACAGGUACCAGAAGAAACUUCUAAAUGCUGCUGUAUUUCACCAAGCUCCAGUUAAUAUCCAAAUUGGACAACUCCUGUGUGCCAGGAUAAUGUGCUAGGCUUGCUUUAAAAUGAUGCAUACAAAUAAGAUAAAGCAAAGAGACUCGGCUUUAACAUUCAGUAAAACAAUAAUGUGUUUCUUAAUAAUAAACAUUUGCACAUAAAUGCAUCCCAUUUUAAGAAAAUGAUACUUUACCUAUGCUGUUUGUAAGUUAUGUUUCCUUAUAAAUUCUAUUUUCUUAGCAACUCUCUCUAGUUUCAGAGAUGUCUUUCUACUUCCCCUUUGUUUCUCGUGGUGAAAGCAAUAAAUCAGCUUCGUGCUUAUUGCCAUGAUGAUAAAUCUGCAUGAGUAUAAAAGGAAUUGAGGACAUGUACAUUAUAGAAUUGUACUGAUACAUACUUUUUAAAAUUUUUAUUUAUUUAUUUUUUGAGACAGAGUCUCACUCUGUCACCCAGGCUGGAGUUCAGUGGCAUGAUAUUGGCUCACCGCAACCUCUACCUCCCGGGUUCAAGCAAUUCUCCCUCAGCCUUCCAAGUAACUGGGAUUACAGCAUCCACCACCAUGCCUGGCUAAUUUUUGUAUUUUUAGUAGAGACAGGGUUUCACUAUGUUGGCCAGGCUGGUCUUGAACACCUGACCUCAGGUGAUCCGCCCACCUUGGCCUCCCAAAGUGCUAGGAUUACAGGCAUGAGCCACCGCAUCCAGCCCUGAUACGUACUUUAUAUGAACAUGUUCAUUCAUUUAAAAAUUAUUAUUGAAUACCCACUAGGUGCUUAUCAUUUUAAUAAAGUAUAGGAAAUAGCACCUGCCAUCAGUGAACUUCUAAUCGUGGGAAAUGCAGACAAUAAACAAAGAUGCAAAAUUUAUGUUUAACUUAUAAAUAUAAAAAAUGUAUGUUUUAGUGUAUAUAAUGUGUCAGUUUUUGAGUGUUGAAUUUGACAGUGAAUGAAAUUGACAUAGCAUACUUAUAGACAUCUAAUUGAACCUUU